GUCCGUAAGUGGGAAGAUUGGGAUCGGCCCUGUUUGUUGUAGCGGGCUAAAUUAUAAACCGAUUUGCGCCAGGCAGGAUUCACUGAGGUGGGAUGUAACGACCAAACAAGAAGUAGUACAAUGACGGGGAGAUUUCAGGAGAGAUUUGAGCGUUGGCUAAUACACAAGAAACAAUACAUGUCUAUGAUAAUAAAAAAAAGGGAUGUACUUUAUUGGAAACAAACUUGGAUUUUCUUUUGUAAGGAAUCGGAUCAAAAGCCCAGGCUACACGAUGAUCGACAAAGGCAAAAUGUAUCUCUGUGUGGACAGCAGGUUCCCAUGAAGAGAGAGGUCCUCUACACCCUGUAGGUGAGGCUGACCCUGACACUGUUGUUCAGACGAGCCAAAGCAUCCAUGCCUGCACAAACCAGUCCGUGUCCCUGGGAAACUCGCUCAGCCAAAGCAACAGGGGACCCUCUGCCUGACAGCCUCCCUGCCAGAAAAACUAAUCAGCCGCCGGAUCCAGGCUUCUUGCAGGGCCAGCUUCACUACAAGAAUAAUCUGCCUAACACAAACGCCAGUUGGGUCUGCAGACCUUGAGUACUCCAGCAGCCUCGUUUCAGCCCACCAACUGUCUGCUGUUACCAAGAUGGAGACCUGGAGCCAAAAUGAGUGGACCCAGCAGAAGCCUGCCAGCUGAAGAAAGAAGAAGACAUGGAGGUGGAAAGUUAUGAGGUUCACCAGAAAUAAUCCCUUUAGAUCAAUUUGAUGCUGGGAAACUAAUCUGCAUUUUGAUUCUUAAAACAUUAAAGGAAAUCUGUAAUCUGA